rnacentral:piRNA from 1 species
UGAGAUGAGGACCCUAGGAGACAGCA